rnacentral:tRNA from 1 species
UGCGGGGUAGAGCAGAGGCAGCUCGUCGGGCUCAUAACCCGGAGGUCGCAGGUUCGAGUCCUGCCCCCGCUA